rnacentral:rRNA from 1 species
AACGAACGCUGGCGGCAUGCCUAAUACAUGCAAGUCGAACGAGAUCUUCGGAUCUAGUGGCGCACGGGUGCGUAACGCGUGGGAAUCUGCCCUUGGGUUCGGAAUAACUUCUGGAAACGGAAGCUAAUACCGGAUGAUUACGUAAGUCCAAAGAUUUAUCGCCCAAGGAUGAGCCCGCGUAGGAUUAGGUAGUUGGUGAGGUAAAGGCUCACCAAGCCGACGAUCCUUAGCUGGUCUGAGAGGAUGAUCAGCCACACUGGGACUGAGACACGGCCCAGACUCCUACGGGAGGGAGCAGUAGGUAAUAUUGGACAAUGGGCGAAAGCCUGAUCCAGCAAUGCCGCGUGAGUGAUGAAGGCCGUAGGGUUGUAAAGCUCUUUUACCCGGGAUGAUAAUGACAGUACCGGGAGAAUAAGCUCCGGCUAACUCCGUG